rnacentral:misc_RNA from 1 species
ACAUAUGUGCUCGCCUUCACACUCUUCAUCCACUCAACCCCUGUGCACUUUAUCAGAGUUAGUAAUAGUAUUGUGGUGGCGGCCAUUUGUUGUUAUUCAUUGUUAGAAGCGGGGGCAACCCUGUCUGGCAAUAGUAAUGAUAAUAAUCUUGGUUCUACUACUACUACUACUAUGAACACUUUGACUUUUAUUUAUACAAACACUUUGCUUGUUCUUGUGAAUGUGUAAUGCUCCUUGUGAGCGAAAUACAAAUAUACAACUUUCAACAACGGAUCUCUUGGCUCUCGCAUCGAUGAAGAACGCAGCGAAAUGCGAUAAGUAAUGUGAAUUGCAGAAUUCAGUGAAUCAUCGAAUCUUUGAACGCACCUUGCGCCCCUUGGUAUUCCGAGGGGCAUGCCUGUUUGAGUGUCAUGUAAUUCUCAAUCCUCUUCUUCUUAACUGAAGAAAAAGAGGCUUGGACUUGGAGGUAUACACAAGCUGGUACUGUUUGGUAUCGGCUCCUCUCAAAUACAUUAGCUGGACUGUAGUUCGCAUUGUUUGGUGUAAUAGUUCUAUCUUAUUUCACUACAGUGCUUACUUAGACGGGUCUGCUUCCAAUAGUCCGCCUAUGUGU